AAAGUACUCCCUCCGUCCCAUAUUAAGUGACUCAAAUUUGUCCAAAUAUGAAAGUAUCUAUAUCUAAAAACGUCUAGAUACAUGUAAUACAAAGUCACUUAAUAUGGGACGGAGGGAGUACCAG
rfam:Brachypodium distachyon strain Bd21 chromosome 3, whole genome shotgun sequence.